AGGUCUUUGGACAGAGGUGUUGGUGAUGCUGAUAUCUUUGCAGGAGAAUGGAGGUCCAAGUAUUUAGGGUGAUGGUGCUUCCUGCCACGUACUUUUACA